GAGAGGGGGCCAUGAAGGGCAGCUAUGAGGGGCAGCCAUGAGGCCCAGCCAUGAGGAACAGCAAUGAGUGGUGGCCAUGAAGGGAAGCCAUGAGGGGCAGCCAUGAGGGGCAACCAUGAGGGGCAGCCAUGAAGGGCAGCCAUGAGGGACAGCUCUGAGGGGCGGCCAAGAGACCCAGCCAUGAGGGACAGCUAUGAGGGGUGGCCAUGAAGGGCAGCCAUGAGGCCUGGUUAUUAGGGGCAGUGAUGAGAGGCAGCUAUGAUGGGCAGCCAACAGGCCUGGCCAUGAGGGGCGGCCAUGAUGGACAGUUAUGGGGGCGGCCAAGAGGCCCAGCCAUGAGGGGCAGCCGUGAGGGUGGCCGUGAAAGGCAGCUAGGAGGGGCGGCCAAGAGGGGCAGUCAUGGGGAACAGCUAUGAGGGGUGGCCAUGAAGGGCCCAGCCAUGAGGGGCGGCCAUGAAGGGCAGCUAUGAGGGGCAGCCAAGAGGCCAUGAGGGACAGCUAUGAGUGGUGGCCAUAAAGGGCAGCCAUGAAGGGCAGCCAUGAGGGACAGCUAUGUGGGGCGGCCAUGAAGGGCAGCUAUGAGGGGCAGCCAAGAGGCCCAGGCAUGAGGAACAGCUAUGAGGGGUGACCAUGAGGCCUGGUUAAGAGAGGCAGCCAUGAGAGGCAGCUAUAAGGGACAGCCAUGAGGGGCGGCCAUGAAGGGCAACCAUGAGGGGUGGCCAAGAGGCCCGGCCGCGAGGGGUGGCCAAGAAGGGCAGUUAUGAGGGGUGGCCAAGAGGCCUGGUUAAGAGGGGCAGCCAUGAGAGGCAGCUAUGAGGGGCAGCCAAGAGGCCUGGCCGUGAGGGGCGGCCAUGAAGGGCAACCAUGAGGGGUGGCCAAGAGGCCCGGCCCUGAGGGGUGGCCAAGAAGGGCAGUUAUGAGGGGUGGCCAAGAGGCCUGGUUAAGAGGGGCAGCCAUGAGAGGCAGCUAUGAGGGGCAGCCAAGAGGCCUGGCCGUGAGGGGCGGCCAUGAAGGGCAACCAUGAGGGGUGGCCAAGAGGCCCGGCCGCGAGGGGUGGCCAAGAAGGGCAGUUAUGAGGGGUGGCCAAGAGGCCUGGUUAAGAGGGGCAGCCAUGAGAGGCAGCUAUGAGGGGCAGCCAAGAGGCCUGGUUAAGAGGGGCAGCCAUGAGAGGCAGCUAUGAGGGGCAGCCAAGAGGUCUGGCCGUGAGGGGCGGCCAUGAGGGGCUGCUAUAAGGGACAGCCAUGAGGGGCGGCCAUGAAGGGCAACCAUGAGGGGUGGCCAAGAAGGGCAGUUAUGAGGGGUGGCCAAGAGGCCUGGUUAAGAGGGGCAGCCAUGAGAGGCAGCUAUGAGGGGCAGCCAAGAGGCCUGGUUAUGAGGGGCGGCCAUGAGGGGCGGCCAAGAGGCCCGGUUAUGAGGGGCAGCCAUGAGGGGUGGCCAAGAACCCUGGUUAUGAGGGGCAGCCAUGAGGGACGGCCAAGAGGCCCAGUCAUGAGGGGCGGCCUGUCAGCAGCCCCCGCGGGUCCAGGGUGCCGAGCGGCACACCCUCCCUUAGGAAGAGGAGGCAGGCGAGAAGGCAGCCGCCAUUCUCCGAGGGUGACAACCCCGAGAUGCCGCGCUUCUCCUAGGCACGGCCUAGUAGCGAGAGCCCGGGUUUAGGAGUCACGGCAGAUUGGAAUUCCAGCGAGUGUAGGGUUUGGCCGGCUUGGAUAUAUGAAACGAAAGUUCCACUGGACCUUUUUCAAGUAGUUUAAUUCGAGUAUUUGGGCUGUACGCGUAUGGGCCUGCUUUGGAAAGAGAGGGUAAAAUCUCUGAAAAUUCAGGAACGCCUCCAGGAUUUUUGUAGGCGAUUAAGAAGGGCAGGUUGAUGAACCAACCCGAAUAUUUAGACCUUAGACGGUUGAAAAAAUAAUGCCCAAGUGCAGUCUUCUGUGUUUAGAUUACGGCUUAGAAGAGGAAAGAAUAAAAAUGAUGGCUGAAAAAGAGGCAUAUUAAUGUUCUUUGAGGACCACCGUAUUGAUUACAUACUAAAUAUAGGUGGACUCAGCUGUUGGGGAAGAAGAGACGGGACCAGCUGCUGGCCACAUUUCCCGCUUUAUUUUAAAAGGUAGCAUCAGAAACGAGGACUAAUGCGGUAACGUCAGGGCUUUUCUCUUCACCUUCCAAGCGUGCGCAAUUCAAAAGACCGAUUCCAGCCGUCCAGCGUCCCGAACGCGAGAGGUGGUUUUGUAGACGGAAACCUUCGCGUAACCGGCAAAGGUUGUUGCUGGAAAAAAAACGGGCUGGGUUUUUCACCCCCGUGUCCGAUCCGCAGUCGGCACGGCCACGGUGCCGCUGUUGACCGUGCCGGCCGCGGUGCCGGGCCAAUUUCGAACCUCUAACCCUCCGUAGGGUGCGAAACCCUCCGCUUCUAAAAGCAGCAUCAAGCGCCAAGAAUACAACCGCUUAGAUUUAUUUUUUUAGGGCCUCCGGGAUCGUGCAACCCCAAAGUAGCCGGGGAGCUCGUAAGGAAUCGAAUUUGCGCUCUCCUUUUCGAAUUCUCUUAAACGCAGCCUUUUCGCAGCAGAAGACUCGAGUUGGAUUUGAACUCCAGUUGGAUUUGAACGCUUCGGUGUAUAUUUCGGUGGGCGUGACUGUGCCGUACCCACGAGCGGAGGAAUAUGGUGCCGCCAAUAAAAACCGGGCUUAAUGAUC